rnacentral:lncRNA from 1 species
GGCAAGGCAGAGUGUUGGGCAUGAGACCAGAACUUAGAAUGGGGAACACUGGAAAAUGUUCUGACAGUUACUAAGGUCCUCUCACUGACUGGCUGACUUUCCUUCUGGCUAUUGGUAGAGGCAGACAUCUUAGACCUGUGCUGGUGAGAGGGAAAAAGAUCUCUGUAAACCAUCUAAAAAGGUUUUCUACUUUCCUGACCGAGAGAAGUCAUCUCUAAGAAGAAGCUGGUAGAUCUGUUUUGCUGGAGAACAAUUUGGAGAAAAAAAAGGCUGAAGACUGCCUGGACACUGGGCCAUACCAGGGUUACCUUAUUUUCAGUUAGCAACUGCCAUCUUGGCUGACUGAAAUUAUAUGUACUUGGAGAUAUCAUUAUCAAAUUAGUCAGAUUAAUGUUUUGGGGUUAUGUUUUUAUUUUUGUUUUGUAAGUGCUAGGCAGAUUUGGUGUAGCUGGAAGAACCAAAGGCUUUGUCAUGAGAUAAAUGUAGAAGAUAUCAUGAUUGCAACUCCUGCCUUCUUUCUAUCAGUUGAGGCCCAAAAGGACUUACUCCAACCUCUAAUUCUAACCUUCUCCGCCCAGAUGUUCAGCACAACUGCCCCAAGUACAACUCCACUGACGUCCAUGCUCAGCGCCGGGUUCUUCCGUGAAACCGCCCUGAGAUGUUUUUUCCUGGCAGUCCCCAGAUCCCAAGGACCCUGGAGUGCCCCCCCAGACAGAGACGUUCCCUACUCACUCGCUGUCCCAGUGAGCGCUCAGAUUACAUGUGUAAUGGAGGAGAUAAAAGGAAGGAGGGAAAGAAGGGAGAGAGAGAGAGUGAAAGGAUUUCCACUCCAUUACUUAUGGGGAGAGUUACAUUGGUUUUGAUGGUUUUAUCCAUAAGCAGAGGACAAACUGAGGGAGUAGAAACACCGAGGAAAAGCAACUGCCUGACUACAAUGGCUGAGGGAACAUGACAGAGGAAAGACUCUGAGUGAACACUCUGAUGCAAAUACUAACAACAUGGCAAUGGGUUCGAGUCAAGAACACAUAUGAUACCAGUGGAAUCACACGUCGGCCACGGGGGAUGGGAGGGAGGAAAAGAAAAUGAUCUUUGUCUUUAAUGAAAAAUGCAUGGAAAUGAUCAAAUAAAAUACUAUAAAAUUAAAAAAAAGAAGAUAAU